UGGGCUGGUCAGGUGACCCGGGUCCACCUGCGCUGGGGAAGUUCCCC
rnacentral:sRNA from 12 species